ACCUGGCUCAGGACGAACGCUGGCGGCGUGCUUAACACAUGCAAGUCGAACGAUGAACCUCCUUCGGGAGGGGAUUAGUGGCGAACGGGUGAGUAACACGUGGGCAAUCUGCCCUUCACUCUGGGACAAGCCCUGGAAACGGGGUCUAAUACCGGAUAUGACACACGACCGCAUGGUCUGUGUGUGGAAAGCUCCGGCGGUGAAGGAUGAGCCCGCGGCCUAUCAGCUUGUUGGUGGGGUGAUGGCCUACCAAGGCGACGACGGGUAGCCGGCCUGAGAGGGCGACCGGCCACACUGGGACUGAGACACGGCCCAGACUCCUACGGGAGGCAGCAGUGGGGAAUAUUGCACAAUGGGCGAAAGCCUGAUGCAGCGACGCCGCGUGAGGGAUGACGGCCUUCGGGUUGUAAACCUCUUUCAGCAGGGAAGAAGCGAGAGUGACGGUACCUGCAGAAGAAGCGCCGGCUAACUACGUGCCAGCAGCCGCGGUAAUACGUAGGGCGCAAGCGUUGUCCGGAAUUAUUGGGCGUAAAGAGCUCGUAGGCGGCUUGUCACGUCGGAUGUGAAAGCCCGGGGCUUAACCCCGGGUCUGCAUUCGAUACGGGCAGGCUAGAGUUCGGUAGGGGAGAUCGGAAUUCCUGGUGUAGCGGUGAAAUGCGCAGAUAUCAGGAGGAACACCGGUGGCGAAGGCGGAUCUCUGGGCCGAUACUGACGCUGAGGAGCGAAAGCGUGGGGAGCGAACAGGAUUAGAUACCCUGGUAGUCCACGCCGUAAACGUUGGGAACUAGGUGUGGGCGACAUUCCACGUCGUCCGUGCCG
rnacentral:rRNA from 1 species